rnacentral:lncRNA from 1 species
CAUGGUUAAGGGUCUCCCAGAAGCUUCACACGGCCAGUCAAGUGGUGGUGGGUGCAAUCGUGGGCUCUGUUUACUCCACCUUGUGGUACAUAACGUGGAACUCACUUGUUCUGGAAGCUUUCGCCUCAUCAUUCUCUGUACAAGUAGCUGUAUUUACAGCUGCUGCUGCAUCUGCUCUGGGUUUUGCAGUUUAUGUGCUACUUAACUGGUUCAAAGAUGACAGAUGACAAAGAAAAUAUAAUAAUUCGAGGGUUAUAAAACUAUUCCUUUGUUUCCCAUUUCACUCGUUAGAGGGUUUAAUUUAGGUUGAGUUGUAGUUUAGAUAAUUCAUUAAGGCUAUUUUAGUACUUAGCCAUAUUUCUGUAAUUAAAAGAAAAUAAAUAAUAAAUAAUUUAUUAAGAGGGACAAAAUAGCAUAAACAUAGGAGUUACUAGGGCAAAUUAGAAUAAAGUCCUCGAAAUUGACAAAUUCUUUUUGGAUAUGGCAGCAGCGUCAUCUAUUGCUCUCUUCCACAAACCAACCUGCAGUUUCUAUUUGGGCCCUUUCUCUGCUCCCGCUCGAUAUCGAAGUUGGAGCUCAAUAUUCCAUUUGAAUCGGAGGAGACUCUUCUCUUUCUCUGCUCCUCCUAAAACUAUGGCCGAUUUAGUCAAAACCCAUGCUUGGAGAGACGGCGGAAAUAUUGACGGGGAAGAACGGUUUCAGGCCUUCGAGCAAGAGGCUUUUAUGAAGAAUAGUCCCUCCAACGAUUUGGUCUCCGAUGCUGGCGGUGGGAUCAACGCCGUCGCUAAUCGUCUGGUUUGUAUUCAAAUUCUCGGACGCACACAAUAUGUUUGAUUUAAUGCUGCUAUCCAUCUCCCAAUGAAAUACAAAACUUUUUUUUUUUCCUUGCAAUUUGAUAACAACAUACACAGAGCAAAUGGGUGUUAGCUGCUCUGUUUGGAUCGGUUCUGCUUCUACGACAUGAUGGUGCAGCCUUGUGGGCUGUCAUUGGCUCCGUUUCCAAUUCCGCGCUUUCCGUAGCUCUCAAACGCAUCCUUAACCAAGAGAGACCUGUUGCAACUCUGCGUUCUGACCCUGGGAUGCCUUCUUCUCAUGCUCAGUCCAUUUCUUUCAUCUCUCUCUUUACCCUCUUCUCUGGUAAAACUCUCAAAUUUCUCUCACCCUUUCCUUUCCCAUCUCUCUUUCUCUACUUGCAUCAUUUCGUCACCUCUCAAACUGUUAUUUCCCCAGUUAUGGAGUGGCUUGGAACCAACGAACUCUCUCUUUUCCUUAGCGGCCUCAUCGUUGCGUUGGCUUCUUACUUUGUAAGUUUUCAUGCAAAACUGUUGCAGAACCAUAUAAACUAAUUCAUUCACUUACUGGUGAUGAUGAUUGUAUGCAGACAUGGUUAAGGGUCUCCCAGAAGCUUCACACGGCCAGUCAAGUGGUGGUGGGUGCAAUCGUGGGCUCUGUUUACUCCACCUUGUGGUACAUAACGUGGAACUCACUUGUUCUGGAAGCUUUCGCCUCAUCAUUCUCUGUACAAGUAGCUGUAUUUACAGCUGCUGCUGCAUCUGCUCUGGGUUUUGCAGUUUAUGUGCUACUUA